rnacentral:tRNA from 1 species
GCCCCCAUAAUUAAGCAGGAUAUAAUACUCCCCUCCUAAGGGAGAUUCACUGGUUCGAGUCCGGUUGGGGGUGCCA